GAGGACCGUAUUCAUGGAAGAGGAUUGAACAGACUACUGAGUUCUUAAGAGAAAAAUGGCACUUAAGAAAUUGAUGGUGAUAUCAAAGGAAGGUUACUUAUUACUCUUGGACUUUGAUGAUGAGGACGAUGACAUAAAAGUUUCAGAGGAGGCUCUUGCGGAAGAGAUGAAGUAGACAGUAUGUUGGAUAAAUCUGGAGUAAAGAACCCAGCAAUUGGUAAAGAUGAGAAUAUAUCGCCUCAAGUAAAAGGAGAUGAAGACAUGGGAGAUGAAAUUGACAGUAUGUUGGCUACAUCUGGAGGUCUUUUCUCCUGAGAACACGGGACUCCAGCAUCUUCGGAUUCUGCUCUUGGAGGGGUUUGCCCCACAUCCUCUAUAUUGCAGAAAACAAGACUAGGCUCUACCUCUGUAGAUCAAGCACGACUGAAAUCCGUGCUCUCAAAAGAUGCUGGGGAGAAAGAGUGCCAUUCUUCACAAAUGCUGAUGUGUGCAGCUGAACAGAGCGUUGAGGAAACGUCAGUGAUUUUAUAACUACUUAUCAUGUUGGGAGAUUGUUGUGAUGAUUGCCUGGACUCUCAGAUGUUACACAGGCUGCAUCAUUGGACUGAAAGUGAAUGGCCCAUGUGUUGCCACUGAUGUGAGCCAUUUGCCUGUUGUGCUUCA
rnacentral:precursor_RNA from 1 species